GGCUCAGAACGAACGCUGGCGGCGUGGGUUAGGCAUGCAAGUCGAACGCGAAAGAGGGAGCAAUCCCUCGAGUAGAGUGGCGAACGGGUGAGUAACGCGUGAGAAACCUGCCUUCAACAGGGGGAUAACACUCCCAACGGGGUGCUAAUACCGCAUGAGACCACGGGGCUGCAUGGCCCUGAGGUCAAAGGUGGCCUCUACUUGUAAGCUACCGGUUGAAGAUGGUCUCGCGUCCCAUUAGCUAGUUGGCGGGGUAACGGCCCACCAAGGCGACGAUGGGUAGCUGGUCUGAGAGGAUGGUCAGCCACACUGGGACUGAGAUACGGCCCAGACUCCUACGGGAGGCAGCAGUCGAGAGGCUUCGGCAAUGGGGGAAACCCUGACCGAGCGACGCCGCGUGCAGGAUGAAGGCCCUUGGGUUGUAAACUGCUUUUGUUGGGGAAGAAGUGUGAUCAGGUGAACAAUCUGGUCGCUUGACGGUACCCGACGAAUAAGCUCCGGCUAACUCCGUGCCAGCAGCCGCGGUAACACGGGGGGAGCAAGCGUUGUUCGGAAUCACUGGGCGUAAAGGGCGUGUAGGCGGUCUGGUAAGUGGGAUGUGAAAGCCCCCGGCUCACCCGGGGAUCUGCAUUCCAAACUGCCAGACUUGAGUAUGGGAGAGGACAGGGGAAUUCCUGGUGUAGCGGUGAAAUGCGUAGAUAUCAGGAGGAACACCGGUGGCGAAGGCGCCUGUCUGGCCCAAUACUGACGCUGAGGCGCGAAAGCUAGGGGAGCAAACGGGAUUAGAUACCCCGGUAGUCCUAGCCGUAAACGGUGAUCACUAGGUGUUGGAGGCAGCGACCCCUCCAGUGCCGCAGCUAACGCAUUAAGUGAUCCGCCUGGGGAGUACGGCCCGCAGGUUGAAACUCAA
rnacentral:rRNA from 1 species